rnacentral:rRNA from 1 species
AGCGAACGUUUGCGGCGGGCCUAACACAUGCAAGUCGAACGGGCUAGCAAUAGUCAGUGGCGCACGGGUGCGUAACACGUGGGUAAUCAACCCUUCAGCUCGGGAUAACGCCUUGAAAGGGGCGCUAAUACCGGAUGCGACGCGAGGAGCCUCGGCGCUUCGCGGGAAAGAUUCGCAAGGAUCACUGAAGGACGAGCCUGCGGCCCAUCAGCUAGUUGGUGAGGUAAGAGCUCACCAAGGCGAAGACGGGUAGCUGGUCUGAGAGGAUGAUCAGCCACACUGGAACUGAGACACGGUCCAGACUCCUACGGGAGGCAGCAGUGGGGAAUAUUGCGCAAUGGGCGAAAGCCUGACGCAGCCACGCCGCGUGAGCGAUGAAGGCCAUCGGGUCGUAAAGCUCUUUUACCCGGGAUGAUAAUGACAGUACCGGGAGAAUAAGCUCCGGCUAACUCCGUGCCAGCAGCCGCGGUAAAGUCGAUA